rnacentral:lncRNA from 1 species
UGGGACCGGCCUCCUGGAGCCACUUCCGGGCCUCUCUAGGAAGUCCGGAGGGCUUGGCAUCUCUAUGUUACCUGUGCUGGGGCAGUGGAUUCCCUCUGUGAAUCUCUCCACUUCUCCAGGUCUCGUGUUCCAGAGUGGCAGGAGGCCUUUCAGGGUCACCUCUACUGCUCGUCCCACCUCCAAUUUUGGCUUCUAGAUUUUCACCUCUGUCUUUGUGCCCCCCUCAGUGCUGAGUGCAGAGCUGAUUAAAGGUGCCCAGUUCUCAAAGAACCAGGAUGUCUUCAGCUGAUGUAGUCUUGCCCUUGAGCAUCACAGCAUCACAGGACCAGGAGGCCUCAGCUGUGACUGGAGGCAAAACGGAGUUAUGUUUCCACCUGCCAUAGCUGGCUUGAAGAGAAAAUGUCCAGAGUGUUAUGCCCAGAUUGCGAAGUCCCAAAGACCACCAGGAAGCCGAUUCCGAUGGCCCAGAGAUGUCUUGCCUCUGCACUGCUCCUCCAAGUCCUGUGAGAUGAGAUGAAGUGAGAUAGAGCCUUGGACAGAAAGAAAAUGCCAGUGGAAAAGUUUCCGGCCUAUCAAUGGGGCAUCCUUGUGGAGUGGUUGGAGAUCACCAGACACCUCAGCCAGUGCAGAAGUAUGGAGAGGUGACC